AUGGGAAAUGUAGUGUCACCUUCCAAUGAUGUUACCAGGAAGGACCUUGGGAACCAGCUUUUCUGUCUGCUCAUGCGCCGCCCCGCCCACUCCACCAUUUUCCUCUGGAAGUGCUCAACCCUGAGGCGGUCCUGCGGCUGGGCAGGCUUGGGGCUUGGUUCUAUGUCCCUAUGGGUCGGUGUGAGGGCGAAGAGGGACCCGUGGGCCUCUGGGGAUCCCGGGGGGCCGGACCAGUGUUCCCUAGUUGUGGGAGCAGACGCGUGGGCGCAUCGCGGGCGAGCGAGGCCUGACGUGCAGCUAUGUUUCCAGUGUCCUCUGGGUGUUUCCAAGAGCAACAAGAAACGAAUAAAUCUCUGCUUAUCCAAAUGUUCCACUGGUCCCUGUUCAUCUUGCCCUGCAGUUCUCCUUGACUGAUUGAGCCCUUUGUGGUUUGCAGUCCUGUUUCUCUACAGCUUGGACCUCUUCGGUCUUUCCAUCAGAGGUUUAACUCUCUGUUGAAUGCUUCUUUGUAGCUACGCAAAAGUUACCUUAAGCUCAAAAAAUUCAAAGUGAAAGCCACAUCCUCCUCUCUUCCCUUAUGUGUAUGGCAUUACUACCAUGCAGCCAGUGACCCAAAAUGGGAUUUCUUCUGGGCUUUUCUUGCUUAGAUUCAGUCUCAUCUGGUGUCAGCCUUGUUACUUUUGUUUCCUUGUUCUUUUAUUUUUAAUUUUUUUUUCUUUUGAGACAGGUUUCGCUCUUGUUGCCCAGGCUAGAGCACAGUGGUGUGAUCUCGGCUCACCGCAGCCUCCACCUCACGGGUUCAAGCAAUUCUCCUGCCUCAGCUCCUGAGUAGCUGGUAUUACAGGCAUGUGCCACCACGCCCGGAUAAUUUUGUAUUUUUAGUAGAGACAGGGUUUCUCUAUUUUGAUCAGGGUGGUCUCGAACUCCGACCUCAGGUGAUCUGCCUGCCUCGGCCUCCCAAAUGCUGGGAUUACAGGCGUGAGCCACCAUGCCUGGCCUGCUUGUUGUUUUCACCUCAUCCUUAUUUCUGAAU
rnacentral:lncRNA from 1 species